UACUAGAGACAAGAGGAAAAAGGAAGUAUGGGAAAUAAGAUGAAGUUGUAUUCUAUAAGAUGUCUCUUUGUUUUCUUUUGUUUUGUUACAACUUUC
rnacentral:ribozyme from 1 species